rnacentral:rRNA from 1 species
UACGUAGGGGGCAAGCGUUGUCCGGAAUUACUGGGCGUAAAGGGUGCGUAGGCGGCUGAUCAAGUCAGAUGUGAAAUCCCCGGGCUUAACCUGGGAGCUGCAUUUGAAACUGAUCGGCUAGAGUGCAGGAGAGGAAAGCGGAAUUCCUGGUGUAGCGGUGGAAUGCGUAGAUAUCAGGAGGAACACCGGUGGCGAAGGCGGCUUUCUGGACUGUAACUGACGCUGAGGCACGAAAGCGUGGGGAGCAAACAGG